rnacentral:rRNA from 1 species
AUUGAGCGCUGGCGGCAGGCCUAACACAUGCAAGUCGAGCGGAUGAAGGGAGCUUGCUCCUGGAUUCAGCGGCGGACGGGUGAGUAAUGCCUAGGAAUCUGCCUGGUAGUGGGGGAUAACGUCCGGAAACGGGCGCUAAUACCGCAUACGUCCUGAGGGAGAAGGUGGGGGAUCUUCGGACCUCACGCUAUCAGAUGAGCCUAGGUCGGAUUAGCUAGUUGGUGGGGUAAAGGCCUACCAAGGCGACGAUCCGUAACUGGUCUGAGAGGAUGAUCAGUCACACUGGAACUGAGACACGGUCCAGACUCCUACGGGAGGCAGCAGUGGGGAAUAUUGGACAAUGGGCGAAAGCCUGAUCCAGCCAUGCCGCGUGUGUGAAGAAGGUCUUCGGAUUGUAAAGCACUUUAAGUUGGGAGGAAGGGCAGUAAGUUAAUACCUUGCUGUUUUGACGUUACCAACAGAAUAAGCACCGGCUAACUUCGUG